AUGCUGCAGGAGGAUGGGGGUAUUGAUGAAGAUGUGAACCAUGGAAUCAAAGCCGGAUGGAUGAAGUGGCGCCAAGCUUCUGGCAUUCUCUGUGACAAGAGAGUGCCACAAAAGCUAAAAGGCAAGUUCUACAGGACGGCGGUUCGACCCGCAAUGUUUUAUGGCGUUGAGUGUUGGCCGACUAAAAGGCGACAUGUUCGACAGUUAGGUGUGGCGGAGAUGCGUAUGUUGAGAUGGAUGUGUGGCCACAUGAGGAAGGAUCGAGUCCGGAAUGAUGAUAUACGAGAUACAGUUGGGGUAGCACCUAUUGAAGAGAAGCUUGUCCAACAUCGUUUGAGAUGGUUUGGCCGUAUUCAGUGCAGGCCUCUAGAAGCUCCAGUGCAUAGCGGUCGGUUAAAGCAUGCGGAGAAUGUCAAGAGAGGUCGGGGUAGACCGAAUUUGACAUGGGAUGAGUCCGUUAAGAGAGACCUGAAGAAUUGGAGUAUGACCAAAGAACUAGCUAUGGACAGGGGUGCGUGGAAGCUUGCUAUCCAUGUGCCAGAGCCAUGA
rnacentral:rRNA from 1 species